GACGAAGGAUUCGAGCGUUGUCCGGAUUUACUGGGUUUAAAGGGUGCGUAGGCGGAAAUAUAAGUCAGUGGUGAAAUCCCGCAGCUCAACUGCGGAACUGCCAUUGAAACUGCAUUUCUUGAAUACGGUUGAGGUAGAUGGAAUGUAACAUGUAGCGGUGAAAUGCUUAGAUAUGUUACAGAACUCCGAUUGCGAAGGCAGUCUACUAAGCCGUUAUUGACGCUGAGGCACGAAAGCGUGGGGAGCAAACAGG
rnacentral:rRNA from 1 species